rnacentral:misc_RNA from 1 species
AACGCACAUUGCGCUCUUUGGUAUUCCGGAGAGCACGCCUGUUUGAGUAUCGAAAAAACCAUCACGAUUCGGUCCUGGAGUCCGCUCCGGUCGACUUUGAGACGUGGAAGUUGGGUCGUCCUUCGUGCCUUCGGACAUGCAGGUGGCCUCAAAUGAGAGCGUUGGAAGCCGGAUCUCCUCUACUGGGAUCGCUGCCCGAAUGUGUUGAAUUGAGUGUUUCCGCAAGGGGACGUCUUCAUUUUUCUUUCUUGCAGUUCCAGAGCCUGGUGGAGAACUGGUCGACCAAUCAACCCACUACCACAUCAACGAGGGGUCCAGAGCUUCGUGCACUUGGAUUCGUCGAACACUUGGUCUCAAAUCAGGCGGGAAAACCCGCUGAACUUAA